AAACUACAAAUAGAAGUUGACGGGGGCCCGGCACAAGCAGCGGAGGCGUGUGGUUUAAUUCGAUGCUACACGAAGAACCUUACCAGGGCUUGACAUGCAUGUGGUAGCGAAGCGAAAGCGGAGCGACCCUCGGGAGCAUGCACAGGUGCUGCAUGGCUGUCGUCAGCUCGUGUCGUGAGAUGUUCGGUUAAGUCCGCUAACGAGCGCAACCCUCGCUGUAUGUUACAUGUGUCAUACAGGACCGCCGGUAUCAAGCCGGAGGAAGGUGGGGAUGACGUCAAGUCCGCAUGGCCUUUAUGUCCGGGGCUACACACACGCUACAAUGGUCGGUACAAUGGGUUGCUAAGCCGCGAGGUGGAGCCAAUCCCCCAAAGCCGGCCUCAGUUCAGAUUGCAGGCUGCAACUCGCCUGCAUGAAGCUGGAGUUGCUAGUAAACGCGCGUCAGCUAUAGUGCGUUGAAUACGUUCUCGGGCCUU
rnacentral:rRNA from 1 species